rnacentral:rRNA from 1 species
UAACGCGUGGGUAACCUGCCUCAUACNGGGGGAUAACAGUUAGAAAUGACUGCUAAUACCGCAUAAGCACACAGUACCGCAUGGUACAGAGUGAAAAACUCCGGUGGUAUGAGAUGGACCUGCGUCUGAUUAGCUGGUUGGCGGGGUAACGGCCCACCAAGGCGACGAUCAGUAGCCGACCUGAGAGGGUGACCGGCCACAUUGGGACUGAGACACGGCCCAAACUCCUACGGGAGGCAGCAGUGGGGAAUAUUGCACAAUGGGGGAAACCCUGAUGCAGCAACGCCGCGUGAGUGAAGAAGUAUUUCGGUAUGUAAAGCUCUAUCAGCAGGGAAGAAAGUGACGGUACCUGACUAAGAAGCCCCGGCUAACUACGUGCCAGCAGCCGCGGUAAUACGUAGGGGGCAAGCGUUAUCCGGAUUUACUGGGUGUAAAGGGAGCGUAGACGGCACAGCAAGUCUGAAGUGAAAUCCCCGGGCUCAACCCGGGAACUGCUUUGGAAACUGUUGGGCUGGAGUGCUGGAGAGGCAAGCGGAAUUCCUAGUGUAGCGGUGAAAUGCGUAGAUAUUAGGAGGAACACCAGUGGCGAAGGCGGCUUGCUGGACAGUAACUGACGUUGAGGCUCGAAAGCGUGGGGAGCAAACAGGAUUAGAUACCCUGGUAGUCCACGCCGUAAACGAUGCAUACUAGGUGU